UACGUAGGGACCAAGCGUUGUUCGGAUUUACUGGGCGUAAAGGGCGCGUAGGCGGCGUGACAAGUCACUUGUGAAAUCUCCGGGCUUAACUCGGAACGGCCAAGUGAAACUGUCAUGCUAGAGUGCAGAAGGGGCAAUCGGAAUUCUUGGUGUAGCGGUGAAAUGCGUAGAUAUCAAGAGGAACACCUGAGGUGAAGACGGGUUGCUGGGCUGACACUGACGCUGAGGCGCGAAAGCGUUGGGGAGCAAACAGG
rnacentral:rRNA from 1 species